CUGCAGCUGCCGAGCAACACGUGGAGGCUCCACGAUCCACGAGUCCGACACGUUCAAGUGCCGUUUUUGCAUCAUUAAAACGGGUGACGUGUGCAUGUUUGAGUUUCUGGUGGUGGAUGUUGUGACUGGAGCCAAACAAGCGUUUCCGGUCUUUAUGCUGAGCUAACUGGAUUAAAUAAAAAAAUCUAAAAUGUUCCCACAGCAGUCAGAAACCUGUUAGAACACAAACAGACUCCUGGGUGGGCCGCAGGUAGCCUCUGUUUGCUUCAUUCACCUGCGUGGAGACGACGUCCCCGCGGCCUGAAGGGAAAACCCGUCAGAACGAGUCUGAGGAACCGCGUUCAUGUUCAGACCUGAUGGAGGAAGUUCACGUCGACGGAUUCCCCCCAGCUGAGCCGUGAGGAGGAAUCAGCUGCUCUCAUUGAUAUGCAGGUGUUAUCAGCUUCAGUUACAUGUAGGCGGCAAAGGCUCUUGUACAGGUGACAGGUGAGCCAAUCAGAUUAAAACUUUGGAUUUUCAGAUGUCUUCUCUCUGCUGCACAGAAAGCCAGUGGACGGAGACAAAUGAACACCACUUUGGGAGGCCUAAAACACUCCGCGCUGACGGAUCUACAGGCAGGUGGACUCCUGGUCGACAUGCAGCCACACUCGAGUCACAGUGGUCACGCUUGGUAACUACACAGAAACUGGGCUGCAGUUACGCUCCGUAACUCCUGAUCUCAGCUGAUCCUUACAGAUGUUCCUGUGGUUGGAGCAACACUCCAGAGAGAAGAUUUUACAAAGGAAAGAAGUGACACCAGUCCAACCAGUCGCCUCUUGAUGUCACGCAGAACCAACAACAUCCCAGGCCACUGACUCUCUCUUGUAUACAGUACAAGUAUUCAGUACAUGUACUUGUAUAUUUUCUUCUUUCAGCCAUACAGACAUCUGAGCCAAAUGCUCACAUCUGAAUUCCACUUGCUUAACAUGCUGAUGUUUAUCAGGUAUGAGGUCACCCGUGUGCAACAUCGCUUAGCUGACAAGCUAACAUUAGCUAAUUAGCAGUUAGCACAAAGUGCAGUUGAGGCUGAUGAGAACGUCAUUAGCUCUGCAGGUAAACCAAAGUUAAAUGCUGACCUGAUGAUGGUGCUACAUGAAAAGUCAGAGCAUCUUCAAAGUCAGCGCGGUUCA